UUGAAAGUGCUUUGAUCGUUGUAGUUUUCAUGCGAAAGCAGAUAUUAAACCUGUUAAUAUUUUACAUAUUUGUAAGUUACCGUGUAGUUCGUAGUUUUUAAUUUUAGUUUGCAUACUAACUUUCUAGUAAAAAUAAAGAAUUUGCUACGUUAUAGGUUACACAACGGCAUAUUAUUCCUUCUAAAAUCUGUAGAGUCCGUGAAGUCAGGCAACCGGGUCAGAUCAAGCUGUUGGUUUUGGACUUGUCAGCUUUAGUCUGUUGCUGUUUAUAUACUACACCAUUUGGGUCAUAGUCUUGCCUUUUGUAGACAGUGACCAUAUGAUUCACAGUUAUUUUCUUCCACGUG